rnacentral:lncRNA from 1 species
AGAAGAGAAGAGAAGAGAAAAAAAGCCAUUCUCAAAUAAAUGCGUGGUUCAGAGAGUUUUAGCAUGGCUUGCCUAUAGCAUGGCUUUUCUAUAAUAAUGCAGUUUUUUAUGUUUUUCCUAUUUGUGUUUGUAUGCUUGUUUUGCUUUCCACAAUAUGAGAGUAGACAGGAUUUCAGGAAUCAAGGAUGCCUGAAGGCAGGAGAGAAGUCAUUCAGCUAUUUAGAAUCCAUACCUACUGGGAAAGUGAUUAACAGUGUUCUUAAAUGGAGUGUCUCUGGGCUUGUCAACCACAUUCGAGGGCAGGCCUUGAGCACAGGAGUCAUUGGGGGUGAACCAUGUGUGUGUGUGUGUGUGUGUGUGUGUGUGUGUGUGUGUGUGUGUGUAUGUGAGAGAGAGAGAGAGAGAAAGAGAGAGAGAGAGGGAGAGAGCUUUUUGUUUUGUUUCAUUUGGAUUUAGAAUUUUGUUGUUCUCCUGAUUUUGUUUCUCUUUUGAUUUUGGUGUUUCAUUUUAUGAUUAAGAGAGAAAGAACAUGAAGUUUGGUGGCGAGUGGGAAGAUCUGGGGGUUACGAGAAUGGAAAAUUAUGAUCAAAACAUUUUGCUAAACUAAGGUACAUUUAUGAAAAUUUCAUUGGAGAAGAGUGUAUCUACAUUUAUUGGAAAGAAAUUUAGAAAAAAAAAAGACCAGGUAGCAUAUUUUGAAUUUAGUCUGUGUACUUUGAACUGCGAGGUGUAGCUUGUUUUCACAAAUAUUUCAGAAUAAAGAUAGUGGGUGAAAAUUUAUUUACUUCUUACUUACGAUAAUAGUACCAAGAAGCAAUCUAGGUUUCUGCACAGGUAGCCAUAAAAGAGAGAGUUCAAUGGGGUUGUUCAGAAUAUUCAUAUAAGGAUCAGCUAGUUGUAUCUAAUGCUGUUUAAGGACAGACAAUUCCAUCACUUUAAGAGAACAGUCUGGUCAAUCUUAGGUCCUAUUCUUUUCUCUCUUUUCAGGGUGAAAGACUUAACUAUUUGCUGCAAUGUUGGUUUCUUAAUCCCCUCACAUAUGCUUUCAGUUCUACUACCUAAUUAUUUUUUAAUAACCCUCGUAUCUAAUAAGAAACUCCUUCCUCCAUUGCUAUCUCCUUUCUCCUCCUUUUCCCAUCUCUCUCUGUGUCUCUCCUUUCCUUAUCCUUAGAGGAAGUGUUUCUAUUCCUAGUGAAGCAAUUCUAAGCUCCAUUUGCUGGUAAUUAGCAGGAUGAAGUAUGUGACAGGCUUGCCACACGAGGUACAAGCAGGUAGCUGUUAUUUCCAAGCCAUCACACUUUGCUCACAAAAAUUCUAUUUUUACCAGCAGCAACCAAGGCAUGGGGUUUAGAGUAUUGACUUCAAACUGUGUCUAAGAGAAUUCCGGGACAGAAAUAGCCACCAAAAUUGCAAGCAUUUCUAAAGAUCUGAGGAUGCUCAGGUGUAACCUCAGAAACAGUGUCACAUGAUUGAAUGAGGAAAUAUUGUUUGUAGAACAUUUAGAUUGUUUAGAAGUUCAAGAAAACGGCAAGCAAGACUGAACUGUUUUUUAGGGUUUUAGGUUUUAAUCAGGGCUCACAUAUGGUAAACAUCCAGUAAACAUACCAUUAAAAGAGGAGCAUUGGCUAUUUCAGAAAUAGAUUUGUUAAAAGAGUCUUGUUAAAAAUUACUUUGUUAUAAUUCCUAUUUCUAGUGUCAUAAACUCUAAAUCACUUUUGUUAGUUACAAGCCUUCCUUGGCUGAUAAGGGUUAAAUUCACAUAAUGAGAAACGUAGUAGUUUAAGGACGGUAAAGGUUUGAAGAUACACGCAGCUGAAAGCAGAUAAUAUGAUGCUUUCAUGUGCAGUUUUCUAAUAAGGCCCUUCACACCAGUGAUUCUCAACCUGUAGAGCAUAACUCCUAUGAAUGUCACAUGUCAUAUCUCCUGCAUAUCAGGUAUUCAUGUAACAAUUCAUAGCAGCAGCAAAAUUGCAGGUAUAAGGAAAUAACAGAAUAAUGUUAUAAUUGAGGGAAAUCAUCAGGACAUGAGGAACUGUAAUCAGGCGCGACAGCCUUAGGAAGUUUGAGGACCACUGUUUAACACCUUCCCCUUGCAUCUGUAUCUCUCCAUGACUCAGUCUGCCUUUUCUACAGUCCUUGGGGAGAGCAUGUCCACAGCAUGGCGAGAAUAGUGCUCAGAAGUUCCACAUGUCUGGUGAGAAACUCCUGCAGAAUUCUAUUUCCCUGAUCUUGUAGGGAGUUUGAAAACCACUGCUCAAACAAUUUCUUUAUCUCUCCAUGAGUUAGCCUAACAUAUCUGCAGUCUUUGGGAAGAACAGGUCCACAACAUAGCAAAAAUAACUUUCAGAUGUUCUCAAAAAUCUGGUGAGAAACGUGUCGAAGUCUAUUUCCCUGAUGUAAUGUAAAUUAUUAGAUGUUGGAUCUUACUUUAACUAUUAUAGGUAGAGGCAUUUGGCUAAUGUGGGACGAGUUGAAGUCCACAUCCUAGAGACUUCUGCAUAUAUUACUACAAUUAGCCUUCUCAACAAAGGAUAAAGAUACUAGAAUUAUAUUUGAUAUAUUAAUGGUGUGACUUUCACUAUGAAUUAGCUUCUAUGCUUAUUAAAUGGCAUACAUGAAUAGCAACUAAGCAUGUAUUGAGAGAGCCAUCCAACCCUAAUAUUCAAUUUCGUUCAAGUUACACAAAAAUUUAAGCUGAGCAGACAGAAAAAAAAAAUAAAAAGCAAAAUAUCAGCCACACUUAAAAAUGCAAGCCUUAGUAAUAUUUUUCAUCACAACUCUUAACUUUUUUUUUUAAAUACACACACCUUUAAAAUUGCAUUUAUAUUCAGCUGAAUCAUGAUGGGCCUUUCUUUUUAAGUGGAUUCUAGUGACACUUGUUUAGGCUACCUAUAAUUGGGGUCAUUGCUUUAGUUUUUCACCUUGCCCUUGAUUUGAUAUUUACAAUUCUCUGGAGCCUUCGCUUGAUCUCACGCAAGCACCUCUGAGCUGUGUUCUCCAUCUGCCCUGGGAGAUAUUCUAAGACUAUUCCAGCAAAUGGGGGCUAUCAGUCCUUGUAAGAUUUCACACAGCCCAACAGCAAGAAAUUCACUACAUCAGUGAAAAGAAAUAGGGCCGUAGAUGAGACUUCAGAGAAACUUUAUUUCAAACAAAUUGGCUAUUAGCAAAAGACUAAGCUCUCAUUAGGAGGCCAAAGGCUAAUUCAGAAUUAUGAGGCAGCCAUGAUUGUAUCUUGCUCUGACAAAUUUCCAUCACUUCUAUCUGAGGUAGUAGCUAUACCCACAAAUGAGGUGGGUAAUUACAAUUAUAUUAGGUAUCAUUAUGUAGGGGUUAUUAUAUUCAGGCAUCUUGCUAAGGCCAUCCUGUGCAUUGUUAAAAUACUGUGAAAAGAUGGCUAUGGACAGUAGCAAAUUCUCCCUAUCAAUGCAGAAGCUGGUGAUGCUGAGACUCAGCGCCCAGGCCUUUCUACUUACAUUGAGAAAGCUGACUCUUGAAUCCAACCGUCUGUUACCAUGCUCUGUGCCCUUUGUUUCUGUGUUUUCCUGUGUGUACAUUUAGAAGUUCUUGACGAUAAUUUUAAAAUAUGAUUUUAACAUAUGCAGAUUAUAUUUAGUACAAUUUCAUAGCAUACAACAGAUAUAAUAAAAUUUAAGCCUUUACACUUAAUCAGAAAUAUUUUAAGUACCUUUAUUUUUUAGUUUUUGCUUAACUAAUCCAAUGUUUUGUAAACACUGAAAUAUAGAAGGCAGAGAGCAGAUAACUAGCUGUGUCAGCAUCCUGAAAAACAGAAUGGUAAGCCAUGAUUUGAGUGGAAAAAGAGGCCCUAGGCAUAAAAUUAUACCAGAAAACUCAAUGAUGCUUGUGAAAUAAAGACAAGUUCAUUACAAAAAUAGCAAAUGGUUCUGACUGUUGUCUCUUUUCUAAUUCGGUCACUGUUCUUUUGAGUUUUCACUAUAAACCUAUAAAGAGAGAACAUAUAAACAUAUAAAGCUUUUCUCUAUUUGUGAGUGCCACGUUGAUUAAAGACAUAUAGAAUGCUCAUUUCUCUUUCAAAUGCUGUAAGGUAUCUUGAGAGAAUUCUUUUCAAAAUCCAUAGCAAAUGUCAUCUCAGAUCUUAAAUGUUUAUGGAUUUUAUUUCUUCUGGAUUGUUUUUCUUUCUUUGUUUCUUUCUUUCUUCCUUUCUUUCUUUCUUUCUUUCUUUCUUUCUUUCUUUCUUUCUUUCUUUUUUUUUCUUUUUACAAAUAUAAAUAAAACCAUUGCAUUUGUGGUUGCUUUGUUCUAUCUGACAUACACCAAAUUAUAUUGAGUAUAAACUUAUGCACACUAAUUUCCUUGGCCAAUAUUAUAUAGCUGUUGUUGUUUACAUUAUAUAUUAAUUAUCUAAUCUAUAAAAUCCAUGUGUUCUCUUUACUUGGGAUUCUGCCUUAAGGAUUCUCAUAAGCUUGUAAUGACAUAAAAUUACAGCUACAUUCUCAUUAGAAAGUUGAAGAAACCAUGUAUCUAGGCUAUUUCACAUUUGAAUUUUGUCCUUGUUGAACUUUCUAAUCUAUAGUCUGUAUAUAAAUUUAAACAUCUUUACAACAAACAUGGUACAGAUUUCUGUCUUUUGACAAGUUUUCUCUAAACACUCAAGACAAAAGCGAUG